AUUGAACGCUGGCGGCAGGCCUAACACAUGCAAGUCGAGCGGAUGGAUGGAGCUUUCUCCUGGAUUCAGCUGCGGACGGGUGAGUAAUUCCUACGAAUCUGCCUUGUAUUUUGGGAUAACGUCCGUUAACGGGCGCUAAUCUCGCAUACGUCCUUAUAUUGAAACUCAUGGAUCUUCGGUCCUCACCCUAUUAGAUGUGCCUAAUUCGUAUUAGCUAGUUGGUAGGGUAAAGGCUUACCAAGGCGACGAUCCGUAACUGGUCUGAGAGGAUGAUCAGUCACACUGGAACUGAGACACGGUCCAGACUCCUACGGGAGGCAGCAGUGGGGAAUAUUCGACAAUGGGCGAAAGCCUGACCGAGCAACGCCGCGUGUGUGAAGAAGGUCUUCGGAUCGUAAAGCUCUGUAAGUUGGGAGGAAGAGAAGUAAGAGAAUCUAUUCACGUUUUGACGUUACCAAAAGAAAAAGCCACGGCUAACUUCGUG
rnacentral:rRNA from 1 species